rnacentral:rRNA from 1 species
UACGGAGGAUGCAAGCGUUAUCCGGAUUUACUGGGUGUAAAGGGCGCGUAGGCGGGGGAGCAAGCCAGGUGUGAAAUCUAUGGGCUUAACCCAUAAACUGCACUUGAAACUGUUUUUCUUGAGUGCUGGAGAGGUAGACGGAAUUCCUUGUGCAGCGGUGAAAUGCGUAGAUAUAAGGAAGAACACCAGUGGCGAAGGCGGUCUACUGGACAGUAACUGGCGCUGAGGCGCGAAAGCGUGGGGAGCAAAC